CAUACAAGACCUUACACCUUAGGCCCGGUAACAAAACACACUUAUUAUACGCUACUAUGAUGUUCCUGAUGCAACGAACUAGUUCAACAUUAUUGUGUUGAUUUGUUGUUCACUGUACUAGCUAAUAAUACGUGUACCAUUACUGUCGUUUACCUUUAUUAUGAGAUUAAAAUUUCUUUGAUUGUUUGUUUAUGUGGGGCUUCGUUGAUUUGUCGUAUUCAAAAUUGUGACUGGAUGUUGGUUAGAUAUUGGAAUCUACUUGUGCGGUAUAUGAGAAAAGACAAAAUUCAAAAGGUGAAUGACUACGAUUGAGCAUAUGUCAUCAAACAUAGUUCAGACAUUAGGCACCAUGCUUGACACGGUUGUUGUUUAGGGAUGGAGCUCUUCUCAUUGUCUCUGCUUCAAAUGAUACUUGCAAUUUGUUCUUUUAAAUCUCUCUUCUUUAUGUUGGAUGAGCUCUUUAGAUCUAAAUUCGCCUUCCAUAUUAUAACAAUACCCAUGGCUUUACUAAUGGUCAACGACCACUGGCACUAAAGAGUGUAUACAUUACUAACAUCAAAGAAGACAAUGUGGUUUCCUCUGAGGGAACUGAACAUAGCCAUGGAGUUGUAGAAUGUAGGGGUAAGAAUCAAGAUUGAGGAUAUGGUAGCGUUCCUCGCUGGUUCAAAACC